rnacentral:rRNA from 1 species
UACGGGGGGGGGCAAGCGUUGUUCGGAAUUACUGGGCGUAAAGGGCUCGUAGGCGGCCAACUAAGUCAUACGUGAAAUCCCUCGGCUUAACCGGGGAACUGCGUCUGAUACUGGAUGGCUUGAGUUCGGGAGAGGGAUGCGGAAUUCCAGGUGUAGCGGUGAAAUGCGCAGAUAUCAGGAGGAACACCGGUGGCGAAGGCGGGUCUCUGGGCCGUAACUGACGCUGAGGAGCGAAAGCGUGGGGAGCGAACAGG